rnacentral:rRNA from 1 species
UCAAGUGAAUAAGAGCUUAUGGUGGAUACCUUGGUAUCUAGAAGCGAUGAAGGGCGUGACUACCGACGAAACACUACGGGGAGCUGGAAGUAAGUAUUGAGCCGUAGAUUCCCGAAUGAGGAAACUCUAUAAACUUCUUUCUGAAUCUAUAGGAAAGAAAGAGCAAACCUAGCGAACUGAAACAUCUUAGUAGCUAGAGGAAAAGAAAGCAAAAGCGAUUCUCUUAGUAGCGGCGAGCGAAAGGGGAACAGCCUAAACCAACUAGUUCUUAGUUGGGGUUGUGGGGCAACGUUAUGUAUUAUAAAGGUUAGAUGAAUUAGUUGGAAUGCUAAACUAUAAAAAGUGAAAGUCUUGUAAUCGAAAACCAAAGUAAGCUAGUUGUACCCCGAGUAAUAUGGGACACGUGAAACCCCGUAUGAAUCAGCGAGGACCACCUCGUAAGGCUAAAUAUUCCUAGAUAACCGAUAGUGAAACAGUACCGUGAGGGAAAGGUGAAAAGAACCCCGUGAGGGGAGUGAAAUAGAACAUGAAACCAUAAGCUUACAAGCAGUGGGAGGACGACUAAACGUCUGACCUCGUGCCUGUUGAAGAAUGAGCCGGCGACUUAUAGGUAGUGGCAGGUUAAGAUAUGCGUAUCGGAGCCAUAGCGAAAGCGAGUCUGAUAAGGGCGUUAGUCACUAUUUAUAGACCCGAACCCGGAUGAUCUAGUCAUGGCCAGGAUGAAGCUUAGGUAACACUGAGUGGAGGUCCAACCGAC